rnacentral:rRNA from 1 species
AUGUUCGAGCUAGCCUUCUUCCUGGUGCACACGGUUCGAGCUGGCCCUACUCUCUUGCUCGAUGGUCUCGACGGGGGUGGGCAGGAGCGCGAGCCUCCAGAGCGCUGCGGCGUCGCGCACCUCCUCGAGCACCUCUGGCAUCGUGACCAGCAGGCCCGCGGUGGAGGCGAGCGAGAUGACGGCGUUGGCGUCGACGACGGGAGGACGGGUGCCAGGCCGGUCGAGUUGGCGCAGCUGGACACGAUCCGGCUCACCGCCUGCGCGGACGACUCCUUAGGCACCGUCUCCCGCCGCGCCAUCACGGCCACGCCCCACGCCACAGGUGCCGGGGGGAGGCGGGGGCGGAGGGCCGCGUCGCCGACCGCCGGGCCGAGGGCCGGCCACGCUUCUUCCAUCAACGCUAGGAGGGAGGGGGUGGGCGCGAGCAGGAGAUGCGGCGGGAGGAAGAAGAAACGAUUUUUGGGGAGAAAGAGGAGAGAUUCGGGAGGCAGGGAUUCUGCGUGA